UCACCUCUUACCAUUCCGAACAGAGUAGUUAAGCCCGUUUGCGCAGAUGGUACUGCCAUCUCGGUGGGAGAGUAUGUCGCCGCCUUCU
rnacentral:rRNA from 1 species